rnacentral:rRNA from 1 species
UCUGAAUAUGGGGGGACCAUCCUCCAAGGCUAAAUACUCCUGACUGACCGAUAGUGAACCAGUACCGUGAGGGAAAGGCGAAAAGAACCCCGGCGAGGGGAGUGAAAAAGAACCUGAAACCGUGUACGUACAAGCAGUGGGAGCACGCUUAGGCGUGUGACUGCGUACCUUUUGUAUAAUGGGUCAGCGACUUAUAUUCUGUAGCAAGGUUAACCGAAUAGGGGAGCCGAAGGGAAACCGAGUCUUAACUGGGCGUUAAGUUGCAGGGUAUAGACCCGAAACCCGGUGAUCUAGCCAUGGGCAGGUUGAAGGUUGGGUAACACUAACUGGAGGACCGAACCGACUAAUGUUGAAAAAUUAGCGGAUGACUUGUGGCUGGGGGUGAAAGGCCAAUCAAACCGGGAGAUAGCUGGUUCUCCCCGAAAGCUAUUUAGGUAGCGCCUCGUGAAUUCAUCUCCGGGGGUAGAGCACUGUU